GUUGCGCGUCUCGCAGGUGCAUCCUCUUACCUCUUCCUGGAGCCUGAGUGUUGCAUCGGCAGCGUGGUUUGGCGUGGCUGUCUUGAGACGCUGGCUGUCGAGCUUCCUCUGUUCACUUUUGUCAGCAGAGUCGGCCUGUAUCCUGGCUGAAGGUUUGGAGUCGGGCAUGUGUGGCCUCGGAGCCGUGCGUAAUAAUCCACAUGCUGCGUUGGAUUCCUGAGGAGCUGUUGGGCCAGUGUGGCGAGUGGCUGACUGAUUCCCUGCGGUGGUGGUCCCUUCACUCCCUGUACAGUAGUGCACUUGGAUGUCCGUCAAUGGUGUGUUUUGUUUCUUCACGUGUGGUAGUAGCAUCAGGACCCUUCCCUCCCCCUUCAGUUAAUCAUCUCUGUCUGGUAAGCCCUCGGCCCUGUGCCUAGUGUCUGUAUUUUAGUAGCAAACUUAACUAAGCCUUGAAGGGGCCCUGGAGGAUUGUGCAAUAUUGUGCCACUUACUACUGGAUUACUUAUUGGCAUCGCUAGUAAGAGAUUUUAAUUGAAAGA
ensembl:lncRNA